UACAGAGGGUGCAAGCGUUAAUCGGAAUUACUGGGCGUAAAGCGUGCGUAGGCGGUUUGUUAAGUCUGUUGUGAAAUCCCCGGGCUCAACCUGGGAAUGGCAAUGGAUACUGGCAGGCUAGAGUGUGUCAGAGGAUGGUGGAAUUCCCGGUGUAGCGGUGAAAUGCGUAGAGAUCGGGAGGAACAUCAGUGGCGAAGGCGGCCAUCUGGGACAACACUGACGCUGAGGCACGAAAGCGUGGGGAGCAAACAGG
rnacentral:rRNA from 1 species